rnacentral:rRNA from 1 species
GACGAACGCUGGCGGCGUGCCUAAUACAUGCAAGUAGAACGCACAGUUUAUACCGUAGCUUGCUACACCAUAGACUGUGAGUUGCGAACGGGGUAGUUACGCGUCGGUAACCUUCCUGGUAGCGGGGGAUAACUAUGGGUAACGAUAGCUAAUACCGCAUAAUACUAAUUAUUGCAUGAUAAUUAAUUGAAAGGUGCAAUUGCACCGCUACCAGAUGGACCUGCGUUGGAUUAGUUAGUAGGUGAGGUAACGGCUCACCUAGGCGAGGAUACAGAGCCGACAUGCGAUGAUGAGCGGCCAGCCUGGGAGGGUGACAGGGCCCAUACUCCCUCAGGAGGGAGCCGUAGGGCAUCGGCGGCAAUGGGCGAAAGUUAUACCGAGCAACGCCGCGUGAGUGAAGAAGGUUGUCGGAUCGUAAAGGUCUGUUGUAGGGGUAGAACGGGUGUGAGAGUGGAAAGUUCACACUGUGACGGUAACUUACAAGAAAGGAACGGCUAACUACGUG